rnacentral:sRNA from 1 species
AAUUCGCUGAAUUCUGCAUGAAAUUCAUGAGAAACGGGGGAACCAAUGAACACUGGGGUGAAUCUCAAAACAUUGAGUAGGGCAACUCUUGCUGUCCGAAUCCGUCAGCUAACCUCGUAAGCGUUGUGAGAGGG